AUUGAACGCUGGCGGCAGGCCUAACACAUGCAAGUCGAGCGGCAGCGGAAGGAAGCUUGCUUCCUUGCCGGCGAGCGGCGGACGGGCGAGUAAGGUAUGGGGAUCUGGCCGAAGGCGGGUGAUAACCACUGGAAACGGUGGCUAAUACCGCAUAAUCUCUAAGGAGCAAAGUGGGGGACGGUUCAGGCCUCACACCUUCGGAUGAACCCAUAUGAAAUUAGAUAGUAGGAGGGGUAAUGGCUCACCUAGGCGAAGACCUCUAGCUGGUCUGAGAGGAUGAUCAGCCACACUGGGACUGAGACACGGCCCAGAGUCCUACGGGAGGCAGCAGUGGGGAAUAUUGAACAAUGGGCGCAAGCCUGAUGCAGCCAUGCCGCGUGUAUGAAGAAGGCCUUCGGGUUGUAAAGUACUUUCAGUCGUGAGGAAGGUGUUAAGGUUAAUAACCUUAGCGAUUGACGUUAGCGACAGAAGAAGCACCGGCUAACUCCGUGCCAGCCGCCGCGGUAA
rnacentral:rRNA from 1 species